rnacentral:rRNA from 1 species
UACGUAGGGUGCAAGCGUUAAUCGGAAUUACUGGGCGUAAAGCGUGCGCAGGCGGUUUUGUAAGUUUGUCGUGAAAGCCCCGGGCUCAACCUGGGAAUUGCGAUGAAGACUGCAAGGCUUGAAUCUGGCAGAGGGGGGUAGAAUUCCACGUGUAGCAGUGAAAUGCGUAGAGAUGUGGAGGAACACCGAUGGCGAAGGCAGCCCCUGGGUCAAGAUUGACGCUCAUGCACGAAAGCGUGGGGAGCAAACAGG